GCGGAGAGGUCGUCCUCUUUGGAGAUGCUAAGUUGGCUACCCAGAUGUUCGAAUUUUUUUGACAUUUUCCCCUCAAGCUCGCUCUUGCUUUCGUUUGGAAGUUGAGCGCUAAAGAUGAUCAGAUCGCCCUGAAUGGCUGUGAUUGUUAAA